CGCCAGAUAGCUCAGUGAGUAGAGCACCUGACUUGAGAUUUAGGGGGCCUGGGUUCAGAUCCCGAUUGGUCUA
rnacentral:tRNA from 1 species